rnacentral:rRNA from 1 species
UGGGUAGGGGAGCGUUCUGUAAGCCUGUGAAGGUGGCCUGUGAGGGUUGCUGGAGGUAUCAGAAGUGCGAAUGCUGACAUAAGUAACGAUAAAGCGGGUGAAAAGCCCGCUCGCCGGAAGACCAAGGGUUCCUGUCCAACGUUAAUCGGGGCAGGGUGAGUCGACCCCUAAGGCGAGGCCGAAAGGCGUAGUCGAUGGGAAACGGGUUAAUAUUCCCGUACUUGGUGUUACUGCGAAGGGGGGACGGAGAAGGCUAUGUUGGCCGGGCGACGGUUGUCCCGGUUUAAGCGUGUAGGUGUGUGUUCCAGGUAAAUCCGGUUCACUUUAACACUGAGGCGUGAUGACGAGGCACUACGGUGCUGAAGUAACAAAUGCCCUGCUUCCAGGAAAAGCCUCUAAGCAUCAGGUAACAUCAAAUCGUACCCCAAACCGACACAGGUGGUCAGGUAGAGAAUACCAAGGCGCUUGAGAGAACUCGGGUGAAGGAACUAGGCAAAAUGGUGCCGUAACUUCGGGAGAAGGCACGCUGACACGUAGGUGAAGUGAUUUACUCACGGAGCUGAAGUCAGUCGAAGAUACCAGCUGGCUGCAACUGUUUAUUAAAAACACAGCACUGUGCAAACACGAAAGUGGACGUAUACGGUGUGACGCCUGCCCGGUGCCGGAAGGUUAAUUGAUGGGGUCAGCGCAAGCGAAGCUCCUGAUCGAAGCCCCGGUAAACGGCGGCCGUAACUAUAACGGUCCUAAGGUAGCGAAAUUCCUUGUCGGGUAAGUUCCGACCUGCACGAAUGGCGUAAUGAUGGCCAGGCUGUCUCCACCCGAGACUCAGUGAAAUUGAACUCGCUGUGAAGAUGCAGUGUACCCGCGGCAAGACGGAAAGACCCCGUGAACCUUUACUAUAGCUUGACACUGAACAUUGAGCCUUGAUGUGUAGGAUAGGUGGGAGGCUUUGAAGUGUGGACGCCAGUCUGCAUGGAGCCGACCUUGAAAUACCACCCUUUAAUGUUUGAUGUUCUAACGUGGACCCGUUACCCGGGUUGCGGACAGUGUCUGGUGGGUAGUUUGACUGGGGCGGUCUCCUCCUAAAGAGUAACGGAGGAGCACGAAGGUUGGCUAAUCCUGGUCGGACAUCAGGAGGUUAGUGCAAUGGCAUAAGCCAGCUUGACUGCGAGCGUGACGGCGCGAGCAGGUGCGAAAGCAGGUCAUAGUGAUCCGGUGGUUCUGAAUGGAAGGGCCAUCGCUCAACGGAUAAAAGGUACUCCGGGGAUAACAGGCUGAUACCGCCCAAGAGUUCAUAUCGACGGCGGUGUUUGGCACCUCGAUGUCGGCUCAUCACAUCCUGGGGCUGAAGUAGGUCCCAAGGGUAUGGCUGUUCGCCAUUUAAAGUGGUACGCGAGCUGGGUUUAGAACGUCGUGAGACAGUUCGGUCCCUAUCUGCCGUGGGCGCUGGAGAACUGAGGGGGGCUGCUCCUAGUACGAGAGGACCGGAGUGGACGCAUCACUGGUGUUCGGGUUGUCAUGCCAAUGGCACUGCCCGGUAGCUAAAUGCGGAAGAGAUAAGUGCUGAAAGCAUCUAAGCACGAAACUUGCCCCGAGAUGAGUUCU